rnacentral:rRNA from 1 species
UACGUAGGGAGCAAGCGUUGUCCGGAAUCAUUGGGCGUAAAGCGCGCGUAGGUGGCUUCGUAAGUCCGUUGUGAAAGUCAAAGGCUCAACCUUUGAAAGCCGAUGGAUACUGCGGAGCUAGAGUACGGAAGAGGCGAGUGGAAUUCCUGGUGUAGCGGUGGAAUGCGCAGAUAUCAGGAGGAACACCAAUAGCGAAGGCAGCUCGCUGGGACGUUACUGACACUGGGGCGCGAAAGCAUGGGGAGCGAACAGG